AUGACUGCAAAGACAUCUAGUUUCUCAAGUGCUAAAGAUAAGAAUCCAGCUUUAGGAGAUGUUGUUUAUUAUGGCCGAAUCAUUGAAAUAGUUGAGCUGAAUUAUUCAAACAAAGGCAACGUGGUUUUAUUCAAGUGUGAUUGGGUUGACAAUGUUCGCCCUGAUGCUGGGGUUCGAAAGGACCCAUAUGGAAUAACCGAGGUGAAUUUUAACCAUUUGCUAAGCAGCGGCAACGACAUAUUUGAUGAGCCAUUUAUCCUCGCAACUCAAGCCACCCAAGUAUAUUAUGUACAAGAUUCUAUAGAGAAGGAUUGGUACGCUGUGGUUCAUCCACCUACAAGAGACUUCUUUGAUAUGGAGGCUAGAAUUAAUGGGCAUGCGGAAUAUUAG
rnacentral:rRNA from 1 species